AAACCAAUAAAGUUGCACAAAAGAAAACAGGUCCUACAAAAUGUAUUGAAAAAGAACCGGAUUCUUUACAAGGAAAUAAAACCAAUAAGGUUGCACAAAAGAAAACAGCUCCUAUAGAACGUUAUGAAAAAGAACAUAAUUCUUUACAAGAAAAUAAAACCAAUAAGGUUGCACAAAAGAAUACAGGUCCUUCAAAAUGUAAUGAAAAAGAACCGGAUUCUUUACAGGAAAAUA